GGGUUGUGAGGUUAAGCGACUAAGCGUACACGGUGGAUGCCCUGGCAGUCAGAGGCGAUGAAGGACGUGCUAAUCUGCGAUAAGCGUCGGUAAGGUGAUAUGAACCGUUAUAACCGGCGAUUUCCGAAUGGGGAAACCCAGUGUGUUUCGACACACUAUCAUUAACUGAAUCCAUAGGUUAAUGAGGCGAACCGGGGGAACUGAAACAUCUAAGUACCCCGAGGAAAAGAAAUCAACCGAGAUUCCCCCAGUAGCGGCGAGCGAACGGGGAGCAGCCCAGAGCCUGAAUCAGUGUGUGUGUUAGUGGAAGCGUCUGGAAAGGCGCGCGAUACAGGGUGACAGCCCCGUACACAAAAAUGCACAUGCUGUGAGCUCGAUGAGUAGGGCGGGACACGUGGUAUCCUGUCUGAAUAUGGGGGGACCAUCCUCCAAGGCUAAAUACUCCUGACUGACCGAUAGUGAACCAGUACCGUGAGGGAAAGGCGAAAAGAACCCCGGCGAGGGGAGUGAAAAAGAACCUGAAACCGUGUACGUACAAGCAGUGGGAGCACGCUUAGGCGUGUGACUGCGUACCUUUUGUAUAAUGGGUCAGCGACUUAUAUUCUGUAGCAAGGUUAACCGAAUAGGGGAGCCGAAGGGAAACCGAGUCUUAACUGGGCGUUAAGUUGCAGGGUAUAGACCCGAAACCCGGUGAUCUAGCCAUGGGCAGGUUGAAGGUUGGGUAACACUAACUGGAGGACCGAACCGACUAAUGUUGAAAAAUUAGCGGAUGACUUGUGGCUGGGGGUGAAAGGCCAAUCAAACCGGGAGAUAGCUGGUUCUCCCCGAAAGCUAUUUAGGUAGCGCCUCGUGAAUUCAUCUCCGGGGGUAGAGCACUGUUUCGGCAAGGGGGUCAUCCCGACUUACCAACCCGAUGCAAACUGCGAAUACCGGAGAAUGUUAUCACGGGAGACACACGGCGGGUGCUAACGUCCGUCGUGAAGAGGGAAACAACCCAGACCGCCAGCUAAGGUCCCAAAGUCAUGGUUAAGUGGGAAACGAUGUGGGAAGGCCCAGACAGCCAGGAUGUUGGCUUAGAAGCAGCCAUCAUUUAAAGAAAGCGUAAUAGCUCACUGGUCGAGUCGGCCUGCGCGGAAGAUGUAACGGGGCUAAACCAUGCACCGAAGCUGCGGCAGCGACGCUGAUGCGUUGUUGGGUAGGGGAGCGUUCUGUAAGCCUGCGAAGGUGUGCUGUGAGGCAUGCUGGAGGUAUCAGAAGUGCGAAUGCUGACAUAAGUAACGAUAAAGCGGGUGAAAAGCCCGCUCGCCGGAAGACCAAGGGUUCCUGUCCAACGUUAAUCGGGGCAGGGUGAGUCGACCCCUAAGGCGAGGCCGAAAGGCGUAGUCGAUGGGAAACAGGUUAAUAUUCCUGUACUUGGUGUUACUGCGAAGGGGGGACGGAGAAGGCUAUGUUGGCCGGGCGACGGUUGUCCCGGUUUAAGCGUGUAGGCUGGUUUUCCAGGCAAAUCCGGAAAAUCAAGGCUGAGGCGUGAUGACGAGGCACUACGGUGCUGAAGCAACAAAUGCCCUGCUUCCAGGAAAAGCCUCUAAGCAUCAGGUAACAUCAAAUCGUACCCCAAACCGACACAGGUGGUCAGGUAGAGAAUACCAAGGCGCUUGAGAGAACUCGGGUGAAGGAACUAGGCAAAAUGGUGCCGUAACUUCGGGAGAAGGCACGCUGAUAUGUAGGUGAGGUCCCUUGCGGAUGGAGCUGAAAUCAGUCGAAGAUACCAGCUGGCUGCAACUGUUUAUUAAAAACACAGCACUGUGCAAACACGAAAGUGGACGUAUACGGUGUGACGCCUGCCCGGUGCCGGAAGGUUAAUUGAUGGGGUCAGCGCAAGCGAAGCUCUUGAUCGAAGCCCCGGUAAACGGCGGCCGUAACUAUAACGGUCCUAAGGUAGCGAAAUUCCUUGUCGGGUAAGUUCCGACCUGCACGAAUGGCGUAAUGAUGGCCAGGCUGUCUCCACCCGAGACUCAGUGAAAUUGAACUCGCUGUGAAGAUGCAGUGUACCCGCGGCAAGACGGAAAGACCCCGUGAACCUUUACUAUAGCUUGACACUGAACAUUGAGCCUUGAUGUGUAGGAUAGGUGGGAGGCUUUGAAGUGUGGACGCCAGUCUGCAUGGAGCCGACCUUGAAAUACCACCCUUUAAUGUUUGAUGUUCUAACGUUGACCCGUAAUCCGGGUUGCGGACAGUGUCUGGUGGGUAGUUUGACUGGGGCGGUCUCCUCCUAAAGAGUAACGGAGGAGCACGAAGGUUGGCUAAUCCUGGUCGGACAUCAGGAGGUUAGUGCAAUGGCAUAAGCCAGCUUGACUGCGAGCGUGACGGCGCGAGCAGGUGCGAAAGCAGGUCAUAGUGAUCCGGUGGUUCUGAAUGGAAGGGCCAUCGCUCAACGGAUAAAAGGUACUCCGGGGAUAACAGGCUGAUACCGCCCAAGAGUUCAUAUCGACGGCGGUGUUUGGCACCUCGAUGUCGGCUCAUCACAUCCUGGGGCUGAAGUAGGUCCCAAGGGUAUGGCUGUUCGCCAUUUAAAGUGGUACGCGAGCUGGGUUUAGAACGUCGUGAGACAGUUCGGUCCCUAUCUGCCGUGGGCGCUGGAGAACUGAGGGGGGCUGCUCCUAGUACGAGAGGACCGGAGUGGACGCAUCACUGGUGUUCGGGUUGUCAUGCCAAUGGCACUGCCCGGUAGCUAAAUGCGGAAGAGAUAAGUGCUGAAAGCAUCUAAGCACGAAACUUGCCCCGAGAUGAGUUCUCCCUGACUCCUUGAGAGUCCUGAAGGAACGUUGAAGACGACGACGUUGAUAGGCCGGGUGUGUAAGCGCAGCGAUGCGUUGAGCUAACCGGUACUAAUGAACCGUGAGGCUUAACCUUACAACGCCGAAGGUGUUU
rnacentral:rRNA from 1 species